UACGUAGGGUGCGAGCGUUAAUCGGAAUUACUGGGCGUAAAGCGUGCGCAGGCGGUCUGUUAAGACCGAUGUGAAAUCCCCGGGCUUAACCUGGGAAUGGCAUUGGUGACUGCACGGCUAGAGUGUGUCAGAGGGGGGUAGAAUUCCACGUGUAGCAGUGAAAUGCGUAGAGAUGUGGAGGAAUACCGAUGGCGAAGGCAGCCCCCUGGGAUAACACUGACGCUCAUGCACGAAAGCGUGGGGAGCAAACAGG
rnacentral:rRNA from 1 species